AUUGAACGCUGGCGGCAGGCCUAACACAUGCAAGUCGAGCGGUAGAGAGGUGCUUGCACCUCUUGAGAGCGGCGGACGGGUGAGUAAUGCCUAGGAAUCUGCCUGGUAGUGGGGGAUAACGCUCGGAAACGGACGCUAAUACCGCAUACGUUCUACGGGAGAAAGCAGGGGACCUUCGGGCCUUGCGCUAUCAGAUGAGCCUAGGUCGGAUUAGCUAGUUGGUGAGGUAAUGGCUCACCAAGGCAACGAUCCGUAACUGGUCUGAGAGGAUGAUCAGUCACACUGGAACUGAGACACGGUCCAGACUCCUACGGGAGGCAGCAGUGAGGAAUAUUGGACAAUGGGCGAAAGCCUGAUCCAGCCAUGCCGCGUGUGUGAAGAAGGUCUUCGGAUUGUAAAGCACUUUAAGUUGGGAGGAAGGGUCGUUACCUAAUACGUGACGAUUUUGACGUUACCGACAGAACAAGCACCGGCUAACUCUGUGCCAGCCGCCGCAGUAACAC
rnacentral:rRNA from 1 species